rnacentral:misc_RNA from 1 species
GGGAAGUAAAAGUCGUAACAAGGUUUCCGUAGGUGAACCUGCGGAAGGAUCAUUAACGCGCAGGCCGGAGGCUGGCCCCCCACGAUAGGAAUCAACGUUCCAUCAGGGGUGUGCAGAUGUGCGCCGGUCUUACGCCCCAUUCUUGUCUACCUUACUCGGUUGCCUCGGCGGGCCGCGCUCUCCUGGGAGAGUCGUCCGGCGAGCCUCUUUGGGGGCUUUAGCUGGAUCGCGCCCGCCGGAGGACAGACAUCAAAAAAUCUUGGAAAGCUGUCAGUCUGAGCGUUAGCAAGUAAAAUUAGUUAAAACUUUCAACAACGGAUCUCUUGGUUCCGGCAUCGAUGAAGAACGCAGCGAAAUGCGAUAAGUAAUGUGAAUUGCAGAAUUCCGUGAAUCAUCGAAUCUUUGAACGCACAUUGCGCCCUCUGGUAUUCCGGGGGGCAUGCCUGUUCGAGCGUCAUUUCAACCCCUCAAGCCCGGCUUGUGUGAUGGACGACCGUCCGACCUCCUCUUUCGGGGGCGGGACGCGCCCGAAAAGCAGUGGCCAGGCCGCGAUCCCGGCUUCCUGGGCGAAUGGGCAGUCAAACCAGCGCCCUCAGGACCGGCCGCUCUGGCCUUCCCCCAAAUCUCUCUGAGAUAUUUUUUCAGGUUGACCUCGGAUCAGGUAGGGAUACCCGCUGAACUUAAGCAUAUCAAUAA